AGGCUCAUAUCACCAACCCAGUAAAAUCAAGUCAAGCACUUUCAAUUACAUUCCAUAUGCCAUUUGAUUCAAAACUAUCAACAUACUAUUUAUAUCUACAGGAAAAUGAAACUUGCCACCAUGGCGCCACCUUCCGUUUACUCCCUUUUGUUCUAAGAGAAAGGGCUUCAACAAAAAUCAUAAGGCCCACAUUGUGUCCACAUAUGUACAUGG
rnacentral:misc_RNA from 1 species